AGCGAACGCUGGCGGCAGGCCUAACACAUGCAAGUCGAACGAACCUUUCGGGGUUAGUGGCGGACGGGUGAGUAACACGUGGGAACGUGCCUUUAGGUUCGGAUUAACUCAGGGAAACUUGUGCUAAUACCGAAUGUGCCCUUCGGGGGAAAGAUUAAUCGCCUUUAGAGCGGCCCGCGUCUGAUUAGCUAGUUGGUUGAGGUAAUGGCUCACCAAGGCGACGAUCAGUAGCUGGUCUGAGAGGAUGAUCAGCCACAUUGGGACUGAGACACGGCCCAAACUCCUACGGGAGGCAGCAGUGGGGAAUCUUGCGCAAUGGGCGAAAGCCUGACGCAGCCAUGCCGCGUGAAUGAUGAAGGUCUUAGGAUUGUAAAAUUCUUUCACCGGGGACGAUAAUGACGGUACCCGGAGAAGAAGCCCCGGCUAACUUCGUG
rnacentral:rRNA from 1 species